rnacentral:rRNA from 1 species
UACGAAGGGUGCUAGCGUUGUUCGGAAUCACUGGGCGUAAAGCGCGCGUAGGCGGCUUUGCAAGUCAGAGGUGAAAGCCUGGAGCUCAACUCCAGAAUUGCCUUUGAAACUGCAAAGCUAGAGUGUUGGAGGGGAUAGCGGAAUUGCUAAUGUAGAGGUGAAAUUCGUAGAUAUUAGCAGGAACACCGGUGGCGAAGGCGGAUCUCUGGGCCUGUCCUGACGCUCAGGCGCGAAAGCUAGGGGAGCAAACAGGG